rnacentral:rRNA from 1 species
UACAGAGGUCUCAAGCGUUGUUCGGAUUCAUUGGGCGUAAAGGGCGCGUAGGCGGCAAGGCAAGUCGGGUGUGAAAGCUUGGGGCUUAACCCCGAAAGGGCACUCGAAACUGCCCUGCUAGAGGGCCGGAGAGGAGAUCGGAAUUCACGGUGUAGUAGUGAAAUGCGUAGAGCUCGUGAGGAAGACCGGUGGCGAAGGCGGAUCUCUGGACGGCCCCUGACGCUGAGGCGCGAAGGCUAGGGGAGCAAACGGG